AAACUUUCAACAACGGAUCUCUUGGUUCUGGCAUCGAUGAAGAACGCAGCGAAAUGCGAUAAGUAGUGUGAAUUGCAGAAUUCAGUGAAUCAUCGAAUCUUUGAACGCACAUUGCGCCCCUUGGUAUUCCUUGGGGCAUGCCUGUUCGAGCGUCAUCU
rnacentral:rRNA from 2 species